AAACUCUUUCGAUAAAUGUUGGAGAUGCCAGUAGCAGAAAGGCACCCCAGGCCACAGUUGGCAAUCACAGGGGUUGAUAUCCCAACCUCUCCAAAGGUAUCAUUGUGUCUCCAACUCCAUUAUCCAAGACCAAACGAAUUCUGAUACACCAUCUCCGGACGGCGGCCAACAUGUUAAUCCCCCUAACCUGGAAAAAAAUCAACCCUCCCUUCAAUCCGAGAUUGGAUACAAAAAGGUAGAAAGCAUCCGAAUUAUGGCAGAAAUCCAUCUUUCCUUUGUACAGCCAUAUACACGCUAUACUGAAUGCACCCCUGAGAACCAUAUCUCCCCUUCUUCCCCACUUAGCUCCCAUGUCGUAACAAACCAGAUGGGAGAAAUCUGUCACACUUACAUCCUUGGCCUUCAGAACCAUUUAAGAGCUGAUCUGGACACAAGGUCACUCCCUGCGGAUGUAGAAAAGUGCUCCUCACUGACAGGUGCAUGCACCCCAUAGGUACACAGGUUUAGGACUCACCCGGCCGGAAUGGUACACCUACACAAAAUCAAAUGGACAAAACAUACACAAGAACCCAUUCAAUGAAUAAAGACGAUAAGUCUCACGGCCCAAGACUGACUCAGAAAUAGUCCAUCAUCUCAUGGUUCCAGCUGUGACGUAAUAUACAGAUGUUAUACAUAUUUUAAAUAUGGCAAGUGUUUUUCCAAAGCCGAAUUAAUGAUCCUUUUGGCUGUACUGUACCAAUGUUGUGUACCCGGAAGUGAUUCAUGUACCGUUUUGUGAUUUUUCUAUUGAGAAAAUUAAAAAUAUUAAAUAUCAAAAACAAAUAAAAUCAAUUUUUGACCUUUGACAAUCGGUAGUUUUCCAAGUCCAUAAACUGACAGAUGGCGGUGCGUCAUUCAAU